GACGAACGCUGGCGGCGUGCUUAACACAUGCAAGUCGAACGGAAAGGCCCUGCUUGCGGGGUACUCGAGUGGCGAACGGGUGAGUAACACGUGGGUGCUCUGCCCUGCACUUCGGGAUAAGCCUGGGAAACUGGGUCUAAUACCGGAUAGGGGCCAUCUUUAGUGUGAUGGUUGGAAAGUUUUUUCGGUGUAGGAUGAGCUCGCGGCCUAUCAGCUUGUUGGUGGGGUAAUGGCCUACCAAGGCGGCGACGGGUAGCCGGCCUGAGAGGGUGGACGGCCACAUUGGGACUGAGAGACGGCCCAGACUCCUACGGGAGGCAGCAGUGGGGAAUAUUGCACAAUGGGCGCAAGCCUGAUGCAGCGGCGCCGCGUGGGGGAUGACGGCCUUCGGGUUGUAAGCUCCUUUCGCUAGGGACGAAGCUUUUUGUGACGGUACCUAGAUAAGAAGCACCGGCUAACUACGUG
rnacentral:rRNA from 1 species